CGCUUCAACACGUUAUUUUCACUUUCUCACUUUUGUUUAUCAACUUGAUUACGAGUUUGCGAUGGUUAUAUACCUUUGAGUUCCUCGUUUUGGGCGGUAAAAUGGUCACAGAUAUACCAAACCAUGCUGUAAUAUAACUAAAGUGGCGUGUAGCCAUAAAACGAGAAGAUCCUACGACGAAACGGUUACAUGGCGUCCCUGGAUACAGCUAAAGAUCACACUUUUGUUGUUUGCCACUACUAUUUCCAAGAGUCUGACUAAGGGGUCAGAGUCAGAAUUCAGAAUUUCCAAUACUAAACACAGCAAGUGAUGGAAGACAAUUUGAAGAGACUCCACAUUGUUAAAAGCAACUGUGGGAAAAAUAAGCAAGUACCAAGCACCUCGUCUGUAAUGGAGAUGACAUGUAGUAAUCAAAUCCA